AGUGAGUCCUUUCUAAGGAGUAGUAUGUGGCAACAGCAACACCGCGUGGCUGGAUGGUGGCCUCCAUCUGGCUGUCUUGGCCUUGGGACGCUUGCAGGGGCUUCUCCUGGACUAGCUUGUGUUCCUUGUUGCUCUCUGCACUGCACGGCUCCUGCCCAUUUCCAAGCCUGGGCUUGUGAGCUUCCUAGAGAUACUGUGAGCUACUGAUAUUCUUUCCUGAUCCGUUCGUGGGGUGUUGGAUUCUCUGACCCUUAAGGUGAGCCAGCCCAUAAUAGCAUGCAGGGGUUAGCGUCCUUGGGCUCCUCCAGGCACCAAGUGGUGGGAGCGGAGGGGAGGGGAGGGGGCAGGACGCCACUGGCUACUGGGGCAUAGCAGGGUCCAUUUCACCUGGAGAAGAGGCGGCAGGGCCAGGAAGCCAGCAGGUCCCUCCUGGGGCACGGCUGGCAGCACUGCUUGACCCUUUCGGGCCGUGGUAGCAGGAGGGCUGGGGACACAGCUGGGCAUGGGUAUGUGGGGAUGGCGGCCAUUGACAAAGGCCUGUUGCAAACGCAAUGAGAACAUCAGUGAUCAGCACCUGGCAGACAUUGCAGGACCUCUAAGCAAGGUACAGAGGGCACUGGGGAGGCCAGGAGAUGGUCCCUGAGGGAAGCGAUGGCUGAGCUGGGUUUUAGGAGACAUACACAUUUCCUGGGGGACCAACCUCCCAUGGGCCCACUGCUGGACAAAGCCAGACACAGCUUGGUGUGGAGAGAAUUUCAAGAGCAUGAGUAUUGUAGGAUUUGGGGUGGGUCUGGAGAGUGGCAUAAAUUAGACUGAGAGGGCUGUGAGGGGUGCAGAGGGCCUUGAGAAUCAUGCUUAGGAGGCUGGAUGUGCUCAGAGGGUGGGGGACCCAAGACUGUUGUUUU
rnacentral:lncRNA from 10 species